CCUAGAGUUUGUGGACUUCGGUCUGCUACCUCUUACCCAUGUCUUUUGAGUACCUUCGUUUCCUCGGCGGGUCCGCCCGCCAACGGGGACAACACAAACUCUUUUUGCAGUGGCAGUGUCUGUCUGAAACAAACAAAUCUUAUUA
rnacentral:misc_RNA from 1 species